rnacentral:rRNA from 1 species
GACGAACGCUGGCGGCGUGCUUAACACAUGCAAGUCGAACGGAAAGGCCCUGCUUUUGUGGGGUGCUCGAGUGGCGAACGGGUGAGUAACACGUGAGUAACCUGCCCUUGACUUUGGGAUAACUUCAGGAAACUGGGGCUAAUACCGGAUAUGAGCUCCUGCUGCAUGGUGGGGGUUGGAAAGUUUCGGCGGUUGGGGAUGGACUCGCGGCUUAUCAGCUUGUUGGUGGGGUAGUGGCUUACCAAGGCUUUGACGGGUAGCCGGCCUGAGAGGGUGACCGGCCACAUUGGGACUGAGGUGCGGCCCAGACUCCUACGGGAGGCAGCAGUGGGGAAUAGUGCACAAUGGGCGGAAGCCUGAUGCAGCAACGCCGCGUGCGGGAUGACGGCCUUCGGGUUGUAAACCGCGUUCGCCUGUGACGAAGCGUGAGUGACGGUAAUGGGUAAAGAAGCACCGGCUAACUACGUG